CCUACGGGCGGCAGCAGUGAGGAAUAUUGGUCAAUGGACGAGAGUCUGAACCAGCCAAGUAGCGUGAAGGAUGACUGCCCUAUGGGUUGUAAACUUCUUUUAUAAAGGAAUAAAACGAGGCACGUGUGCCUUUUUGUAUGUACUUUAUGAAUAAGGAUCGGCUAACUCCGUGCCAGCAGCCGCGGUAAUACGGAGGAUCCGAGCGUUAUCCGGAUUUAUUGGGUUUAAAGGGAGCGUAGGUGGGUUGUUAAGUCAGUUGUGAAAGUUUGCGGCUCAACCGUAAAAUUGCAAUUGAUACUGGCAGUCUUGAGUACAGUUGAGGUAGGCGGAAUUCGUGGUGUAGCGGUGAAAUGCUUAGAUAUCACGAAGAACCCCGAUUGCGAAGGCAGCUUACUAAACUGUAACUGACAUUGAUGCUCGAAAGUGUGGGUAUCAAACAGGAUUAGAUACCCGAGUAGUC
rnacentral:rRNA from 1 species